rnacentral:rRNA from 1 species
AUUGAACGCUGGCGGCAGGCUUAACACAUGCAAGUCGAGCGGGGGAAGGUAGCUUGCUACUGGACCUAGCGGCGGACGGGUGAGUAAUGCUUAGGAAUCUGCCUAUUAGUGGGGGACAACAUCUCGAAAGGGAUGCUAAUACCGCAUACGUCCUACGGGAGAAAGCAGGGGAUCUUCGGACCUUGCGCUAAUAGAUGAGCCUAAGUCGGAUUAGCUAGUUGGUGGGGUAAAGGCCUACCAAGGCGACGAUCUGUAGCGGGUCUGAGAGGAUGAUCCGCCACACUGGGACUGAGACACGGCCCAGACUCCUACGGGAGGCAGCAGUGGGGAAUAUUGGACAAUGGGGGGAACCCUGAUCCAGCCAUGCCGCGUGUGUGAAGAAGGCCUGCGGGUUGUAAAGCCCUUUCGGUAGGGACGAAAGCUCUCGACCUAACACGUCGGGAGGUUGACUUAACCUACAAAAGAAGCACCGGCUAACUCUGUGCCAGCAGCCGCCGUAAUAC